CGGUUGCUAAGGUAACCGUUACGUCAUCCCACGGCUGCUCGAGCCCAGGCAGGUACCAGCAGGAAUGUGCUGCUGUCUCCCAGUUUCACUUCGGCUCAUGUCUCUGCUGCAUACGAUCCUAAAGAAACACCGUCGCAGCUUGUAAGAGUUCAUGCAACAUUUUAGCACCCGUAAUCCAGUGGUGGAGCAAGUAUUAUAGUAAAAAGUACGACCACCACACUGUAAAAAUCCUGCGUUGAAAAUGUUUGGCUACUUAAGUAAAACAGCCUGGAUACUCCUCUGCUUAGCCAGAGGCAUGUCCAUUCAGGCUACCUAUAGGGCCUGACUGACAGCCACAGUGCAGUGAUGUACUAAGGAUUAACUAUUGAGGGACCCGUUGGAGAUCUCUCUGCUGCCGCUGCUCUCGGCUGACUGACUGGGUGGAUCCAUUGGAUUGUCACGACGGGGAUCUUAUUGGCCUGAAGUGAGCGGGUGUAACGUGAAAACCAGUCCCUCUCAAAUGCGGCCCGUAGCUGCUCCACCACUGUAGAGUUCCUCUCCUCGAUGCCCUCUGGCUGACUGAUCACCAGGCCUGCUCCUGCAUUAAAGGUGAACUCGUUCCCCACCCAGUCAAGGUUACCU